rnacentral:rRNA from 1 species
UACGUAGGGUGCAAGCGUUGUCCGGAAUUAUUGGGCGUAAAGAGCUCGUAGGCGGUCACGCACGUCCGUUGUGAAAUCGCUCGGCUCAACUGGGCGGGGUCAGCCGAUACUGCGGGGCUAGAGUGCAGAAGGGGCAACUGGAAUUCUCGGUGUAGCGGUGAAAUGCGUAGAUAUCGAGAGGAACACCUGCGGCGAAGGCGGGUUGCUGGGCUGACACUGACGCUGAUGCGCGAAAGCCAGGGGAGCGAACGGG